GUCUAUGGCCAUGCCACCCUGAACAAGCCCUAUUCUCUCUGAUCUCAGAAGCUAAGCAGAGUCGGGCCUGCUUAGUACUUGGAUGGGAGACCACCUAGGAAGAUCAGGUGCUGUAGGCA
rnacentral:rRNA from 1 species